rnacentral:rRNA from 1 species
AUUGAACGCUGGCGGCAGGCCUAACACAUGCAAGUCGAACGAGUGGCGGACGGGUGAGUAAUGUCUGGGAAACUGCCCGAUGGAGGGGGAUAACUACUGGAAACGGUAGCUAAUACCGCAUACCAUCGGAUGUGCCCAGAUGGGAUUAGCUUGUAGGUGAGGUAACGGCUCACCUAGGCGACGAUGCCUAGCUGGUCUGAGAGGAUGACCAGCCACACUGGAACUGGGACGCGGUGCAGACUCUUACGGGAGGCAUCAGUGGGGAAUAUGGCAAAAUGGGCGCAAGCCUGAUGCAGCCAUGCCGCGUGUAGGAAGAAGGCCUUCGGGUUGUAAAGUACUUUCAGCGGGGAGGCGUUACCCGCAGCAGAAUCACCGGCUAACUCCGGGCCAGCAGCCGCGGUUAUUC